GAUGAAGAACGUAGCGAAAUGCGAUAAGCAAUGUGAAUUGCAGAAUUCAGUGAAUCAUCGAAUCUUUGAACGCACAUUGCGCCCGCCAGUAUUCUGGCGGGCAUGCCUGUUCGAGCGUCAUUUCAACCAUCAAGCCCCCGGCUUGUGUUGGGGACCUGCGGCUGCCGCAGGCCCUGAAAACCAGUGGCGGGCUCGCUAGUCACUCCGAGCGUAGUAAUACAUCUCGCUCAGGGCGUGCUGCGGGUUCCGGCCGUUAAAAAGCCUUAUUUACCCAAGGUUGACCUCGGAUCAGGUAGGAAGACCCGCUGAACUUAAGCAUAUCAAUAAGCGGAGGA
rnacentral:misc_RNA from 1 species